UCUGGUCUUGGGACACUGUCAGGUGGGCAGUUUGACUGGGGCGGUCGCCUCCCAAAAGGUAACGGAGGCGCUCAAAGGUUCUCUCAGUACGGUCGGAAAUCGUACGUAGAGUGUAAAGGCAAAAGAGAGCUUGAUUGCAAGACAUACAGGUCGAGCAAGGAUGAAAAUCGGACUUAGUGAUCCGGUGGUUCUGCGUGGAAGGGCCAUCGCUCAACGGAUAAAAGCUACCCUGGGGAUAACAGGCUUAUCUCCCCCAAGAGUCCACAUCGACGGGGAGGUUUGGCACCUCGAUGUCGGCUCAUCACAUCCUGGGGCUGUAGUAGGUCCCAAGGGUUGGGCUGUUCGCCCAUUAAAGUGGUACGCGAGCUGGGUUCAGAACGUCGUGAGACAGUUCGGUCCCUAUCCGUCGCAGGCGUAGGAAAUUUGAGAAGACCUGUCCUUAGUA
rnacentral:rRNA from 1 species